UUGUGCCACCCAGUUGCUGUGUAUAUGAAAACAGAGUGGGCCAGUAUCUGAACCUGCAAAAAUGUCAGUCAUUCGCAUUUGGCCCACCAAGAAUGCAAACUGGGGCGCAGAAUAACGCUCUUCAUUACAGGGGUUGUUACUCUGCUGCAAGAGAGAUUGUCAUUAAACAGGCAAAUCUUGUUAUCGGCAUCGUAUUCUCGUUCUGCGUAUUUCUGUUGAACAGUUUUAGUUACUUAAAAACUGUUUACAUGAUUACUGGUGUUGUGGUUGGAGUUUUGUUUAUCCGUAAGUUGGGUGAGACAGGGGAAAU